rnacentral:snRNA from 1 species
AUACUUACCUGGCAGGGGAGAUACCAUGAUCACGAAGGUGGUUUUCCCAGGGCGAGGCUUAUCCAUUGCACUCUGGAUGUGCUGACCCCUGCGAUUUCCCGAAAUGUGGGAAACUCGACUGCAUAAUUUGUGGUGGUGGGGGACUGCGUUCACGCUUUCCCCUG